rnacentral:lncRNA from 1 species
AGGGCGAGGCCUGGGGUAGGGCCAGGAUAAGCCUCACUGGGGCAGGUCCUGGGUAGAGACCAGGUUGGCGGGUCUUGGGGCGGGGCCAGGAUAGGGCGAUCCUGGAAGCUGGGCUUCGGAAGCGUCCAGGUGUUGUUCCACACCAGAACCAAAUGAGCGCAAGAUCUGACAAAGAAAAAAAAAGGUUCAUCUUUUAUUCCUCCAAACACUUUCAUUUAAAUCAAGAGGAUGGGAUGUGGUUAUUGCUGUGUUUUUAGGCAGAAUCAACGGUUUCUGGGUCUGAGAUGGUGCAUACACCCUCUCAGUCCCUGUAUCCUGAGAUGGAGUCACCUAAGAAUCCACAGCAAGUCCUAACCAGGGAUGGGUCUGGGUGAUUAAGGAAGGUUGGCUUCAGAACUGGGCCAGGGGCACUGCUUUGCUUUUGCUGUUUUGAUCAGCUCUCUGCCUGCAGGAGACAAGGAAAACCAAUGGGAACAGGUUAGUUGUACUCAUAAAUCCUGGGCUUAUUUUCUUAACUCACAUAAUAGCUAUUAAUUGUCUUUCCUCCAAGGAGCAAAAGGGCAUAUAUGGUCAAUGCCAUAGUAAGUAACAUUGUAUUAUGUUAUACUAAAAUAUUAAUAAAUCUAGGUUGGUUCAGUCUUUCCUGAGUCCAUAGAUUGGAAGCAGACUGAGGAAGGACGCUAGUGGACCACAGAGCUGAGCCAUGCACACAGAAGAAAUCUUUUUUUCUUUUUUUUUUGGAGACGGAGUUUUGCUCUCUUGUUGCCCAGGCUGGAGUGCAAUGGUGCGAUCUUGGCUCACUGCAACCUCCACCUCCCAGGUUCAAGCGAUUCUCCUGCCUCAGCCUCCCGAGUAGCUGGGAUUACAGGCGUGAGCCACCCUGCCGGGCCACUUGUAUUUUUAGUAGAGACAGGGUUUGAACACGUUGGCCAGGCUGGUCUCAAAUUCCUGACCUCAGGUUAUCCACCCACCUCUGCCUCCCAA